rnacentral:lncRNA from 1 species
GAUCCGUUGUGCUUGCAGCAACGCUAAGUAUCCACGGUGCUACACUUGAUACUGAUUGAAACCCUGUUGUACCACUAUUGCCUGCAGAUUGCAAAACAAGUACACCUUUCUCGGCUGCAUGGAAAGCACCAAUGGCUACAGGGUCCUCGUAAAGGUCAACUGGAAUUUCUAAUCCUAAUGAAACUGAUAUAAGAUCAACUCCAUCGGCAAUGGCAUCAUCAAAACCUGCCAAGAUGUCUUCUGAAAGACACAAUAUACCACUGCAUACUUUAUAUGCAGCAAUCCUUGCUGAUGGAACCCCUCCUCUUGCAAUGCCUUCAGCAAGUCCAUAGAAACUAGCAUUCACUACAUUGUUUCCGGCUGCUGUGGAUGCCGUAUGAGUUCCGUGACCCUCCGUGUCCCUAGCGGAAUCUGAGUGGUAAGAUCGAGCUCCAAUAAGCUUACUGUAAGAUAAGUACUAAAAUAUCAUUACUAAACAACAAAUACUGAAUCAGGGAUUUGAAUAACAGUCGUCCGAUUGCAAAUUUACUUGUUACAAGUGAAGUUUUGGCCACCCUUACAAGCUCCCUUCCACUUUUUUGGUGGUGGACCGAAUCCUUCAUCACUGAAGCUAUCUGAUUCGGGCCAUAUUCCAGUAUCAAGGACACCAACAAUGACAUUACUCUCAGCGGUAGCAUUUCGUUUAACAGUUUGAUUGAGCCCCAAGAAAUCCCAUGAUCUUGUCGUUUGAAGGUGAUAAACUUUACUUGGAAAAACCGAAACAACCUCUUUAAAGCCUACAUAACAAAGCAAUGGUGAAAUCAUAUCAUUAAGACAAUACCAUUGAGUUUUAGAGAAAAAAAAAAAAAAAAAGACAGCUCUUCUUCUACCACUUACUUGCAAGUUUCUUUGCCUCUUCAUUAGUUAACUUAGCAGCAAAUCCAUUGAAGCUCCUUUUAUAACUUUUGAUUAAGUAAUUUUCCACACAGCUGCUGAGAAUAAAAAAACAUGAUCCAAAACCGGCUUAGUCAUCAACAAACGGAGUGACCCCACGUACUAAAAGGGAACCAGUCUUGAUCAUUGCCGAUUACAGGUCCUACCUGAGUGCAGAAAGUGAUUGAAGCAUAGCGGAAUGUUGAGAUGAAGCAAUGUCCUCUCUAUCAGGAGCAGCUCCCAAGUAUGCAAUGUAAACCUGCAUGACCACAUUAUUACAAUUUAAAUAAUCAGAAAUUCAUUUCAAAGAUAUAAAAAGAAGACAAUACUUACUUUCCUGUCAUCCUCUACAGCACCAUGGCAAUGGCUUAUAGAAAGCAUGAGAAUCACAGUAAUGUCAACAAACAGUAAGAAAUUUGACAUUGCCAUUUUUUUUUUCUCUUUUCUAGAGAGUAAGUAUAAAAGAAAACAUAAGUGGUAUUUUAUAGUGGAUUCAAAAGAUUGAAUCUCAUAUCGCAUUAGCUGGAGUUUUAAUUUUUUUUCUUUCCAUAGUCACUGCAUCUUUGGAAAUGUAUCUGUAAACUUUUUUCCUUACCAUAUUGUGAUUUAUGAUAUAUUUUUGUAUAAAAUAUUACUAUUAUUAGAUUGUUUUAUAAAAUAUUACUAAAUUUUUCUAUAAAAAUUGAUUUUCUUAUCAUAGUGGUUUCAGUGCUUAGUGCAUACAUAAAAAGUUUGUUGUACAAAGAAAGUUGGUGGAAGUGCAAGCCAAGCUAGAAAUUGUUUUCAAGAAGCCGAAAUGAAAUUUUAAUUUUUAAUAGUUUAAAUUUUUAUCAAUUUUAAAGAAUUAAAUUAAAUUUUUAUAAUUUUAGGGUGGUUAAAGUGUAAUAAUACCUUUAUUAAAUUAAAAUUUUAAAAAUUUCUAAAAGGCCUAAAUAACAUUUUUCCAUUUUAGGGGGUUCCCCCUUGCCAACUCCCCCUAAAUUCGUCUCUAGGUAAGUGAAGAGGAGAUAAAAGACGAUGGUUAACUUGGAUUUGAAUGUGACAAUGAAAUAAAGGACGAGUUUGUUGUAUGAUCUUAUGUAAGUUAAUAUGGUGAAAAAUAAUUUUAGACUAAAAUAUAAAUAAAGCUAACUUCAUGAUUAAAUCGAUUUUAUUUUAUUCGCUUCAAAAUUAAUUUUAUUUAACUCGAUUUUAAAAAAACUUAAAUCGAUUUAGAAUGAUAAAAUAAAUCUCGUCAACUUGACUAAUUCGAAAAUAUUCACUCAAUUCGAUCAAAUGCUCAUCCCUUGUCUAAGGGUUACAACAAAGGGCUAGUAGAGCCCGACCCCCCUAAAAUGGUAAAUUUAUGUUUUGACCAAAUAUAUAAUAAAUUUGUACUUUGAUCCUCAAAACGAUACAAAUUUAAUUUAAUCUUUUGAAGAUUACAAAGAUCUAAGCUAUUAAAAUGAUAAAAUUACAUUUUAACUAUUAUAAAAUUAUACAACUUACUUCUUCUAGCCCCUAAUUUUUAUUUUUAGGGUCUGUUUGAUUGCCAGUAAAAUAUUUUCCGUAAAAUGAUUUCUGGAAAAUGUUUUACUUUUCUGUAAAACGAUUUACUGGAAAAUAUUUUCUGGUGUUUGAUUAAAUCUGUGUAAAAUAUUUUUUGCUAUUUGGCAGAUUUUCUGAAAAUAUUUUUCGGAAAAGUUGUUUUUGCAUAUAUUAAUAUGUAUUAAUAAAUUUUUAUAUUUUAAAUUAUUUUUACAUAUAUUGCAAUGAUUUAUUUAUAAUAAUACUCAAUUAUUAAGCUACAAUAUUAAUCGUUAUAAAUUGAAAAAAACUAAUAUCAAAUAAAUUAUUUGUAAUUAUGUUUAAAAAACAAGUAUUGAAUAAUUAAAAAAAACAAGUUACUGGAAAAAUCGAUAAACAGAAGCAAUUUUCUACCGGAAAUGAAGGAUGGAAUGAAAGAGGAGAUAGAGAGGAGAGCACGGAAAAUGUCUUACGGAAAUUGAAAGGGUAAGACAUUUUCCCUAAAAUGUAACCAAUUUUCCCUUGUUUUGGAGUUCAUUUUCUAAAUGGAAAAUAUUUUCUGCCAAUCAAACGCUGAAAAAGUUGGAAAUGAUUUUCCGGAAAAUCAAUUACGUCAAUCAAACAGACCCUUAUUUUGCUUUUACACCUUAUUUCGGACAAAUACACAAUUUUGAUUAAUGGUAUAUGUAAACAACUUAAUAAUUAAAAUAUUUAAUUAUAAAAAAUUUAAUUACUAAAUAAAAAAAUUUAAUAGUUAAAUGAUAAAAAUAAAACAGAAUCAAUAGUUUAAUGAGUAAUUUGCCCUAAACCCAGGUCAUCGAUCAAUGCCAAUACUUCUCUUCAUCUGAAUCCUCCAUUACGAGUAAUCGACGGCCGCUACAAAAUGACGAUCCGUUGUGCUUGCAGCAACGCUAAGUAUCCAAGGUGCCACACUUGCCACCGAUUGAAACCCUGCUAGACCACUAUUGCCUGCAGAUUGUACAACAAGUACACCUUUCUCGGCUGCAUGGAAAGCACCAGUGGCUACAGGGUCACUGUAGAAUUCAGACAUAAAGACUGAUCCUAAUGGAACUGUUAUAAGAUCAACUCCAUCAGCAAUGGUAUCAUCAAAAGCUG